rnacentral:rRNA from 1 species
AUUGAACGCUGGCGGCAGGCCUAACACAUGCAAGUCGAACGGUAACAGGGAUCAGCUUGCUGAUUCGCUGACGAGUGGCGGACGGGUGAGUAAUGUCUGGGAAACUGCCUGAUGGAGGGGGAUAACUACUGGAAACGGUAGCUAAUACCGCAUAACGUCGCAAGACCAAAGAGGGGGACCUUCGGGCCUCUUGCCAUCGGAUGUGCCCAGAUGGGAUUAGCUAGUAGGUGGGGUAACGGCUCACCUAGGCGACGAUCCCUAGCUGGUCUGAGAGGAUGACCAGCCACACUGGAACUGAGACACGGUCCAGACUCCUACGGGAGGCAGCAGUGGGGAAUAUUGCACAAUGGGCGCAAGCCUGAUGCAGCCAUGCCGCGUGUAUGAAGAAGGCCUUCGGGUUGUAAAGUACUUUCAGCGGGGAGGAAGGGAGUAAAGUUAAUACCUUUGCUCAUUGACGUUACCCGCAAAAGAAGCACCGGCUAACUCCGUG